GCAGCUCUCAGUCAGUCGGAGAGAAACUCUUCCCUGACAGCUGGUUGGUUAACUGGUCUUUACUGCCUAAUCCCGAGGUGGAGGGAUGGGAACAGUGAGAGGACACACAUCAGGGUCUGUACACGGAGCUCUACACAGACAAACGAGCUCAGUGUUUUCUCUGGGGGACCGCAGUGUCAUGAGAUAGUGGAUGCUCGUAGCUGGAGCGGAAGCCGAGGUCUCAUGUUUGAGUGGCCACAGAGAACAUUUGACUGAGGUGUUGAGAGGACAGGUGUGGUGGCCAAGCCUGCAGGAGGACAGAGGUUAGAUGUACAGAACAACAGGAUGAGCGAGGCCUAUUGAAUUCAGAACACCUGUGUUCACUGAUCAAAGGGAAUAUCUAAGUCCAAGUCCUCCACAUCUACUUAGAUGUCCCCUCUGGCCCCAUCGUCUGUCUUGGCUAUCUGGCACACAAGGUCAUCUCCUAGCCAGUCACGACACUCCAAUUAAGGCGACUGAUGGACGCAGCUAAUUGGAUGUCAUUGGCGAUGAUGACCGCAGCAUCUUUCUCUCUGGCUGCUCCUGCUGUCACAGGGCCUAAUCCUGGUGCUGCAGGGAUGACAGAGUUUGGCAGUUUACCAAGAGAGUUGAUGGGGAUUGACUUACUUUGGAACCAGCCUGAAGUGGCCGUUUAAAGAAGUGCAGUUGUCCGAAACAUACUGCAGCAGCCUCCCUGUGUUGUGUUUUCUGCCACUUGGAAGCAGUAUCAGAAUAUUAUGUUGAACAUUCUGAGCUGUGGUCUGAAACUAAACUCAAAGUUGAACAUUGGAGGAAAAUGAAUUCCCUACACAAAGAAAGUACAGAGACCAG